rnacentral:rRNA from 1 species
CAGAGGCGAUGAAGGACGUGCUAAUCUGCGAUAAGCGUCGGUAAGGUGAUAUGAACCGUUAUAACCGGCGAUUUCCGAAUGGGGAAACCCAGUGUGAUUUGUCACACUAUCAUUAACUGAAUCCAUAGGUUAAUGAGGCGAACCGGGGGAACUGAAACAUCUAAGUACCCCGAGGAAAAGAAAUCAACCGAGAUUCCCCCAGUAGCGGCGAGCGAACGGGGAGCAGCCCAGAGCCUGAAUCAGUGUGUGUGUUAGUGGAAGCGUCUGGAAAGGCGCGCGAUACAGGGUGACAGCCCCGUACACAAAAAUGCACAUGCUGUGAGCUCGAUGAGUAGGGCGGGACACGUGGUAUCCUGUCUGAAUAUGGGGGGACCAUCCUCCAAGGCUAAAUACUCCUGACUGACCGAUAGUGAACCAGUACCGUGAGGGAAAGGCGAAAAGAACCCCGGCGAGGGGAGUGAAAAAGAACCUGAAACCGUGUACGUACAAGCAGUGGGAGCCUCUUUAUGGGGUGACUGCGUACCUUUUGUAUAAUGGGUCAGCGACUUAUAUUCUGUAGCAAGGUUAACCGAAUAGGGGAGCCGAAGGGAAACCGAGUCUUAACUGGGCG